UACGGGGGGGGCAAGCGUUGUUCGGAAUUACUGGGCGUAAAGGGCUCGUAGGUGGCCAACUAAGUCAGACGUGAAAUCCCUCGGCUUAACCGGGGAACUGCGUCUGAUACUGGAUGGCUUGAGUUUGGGAGAGGGACGCGGAAUUCCAGGUGUAGCGGUGAAAUGCGUAGAUAUCGGAAGGAACGCCGGUGGCGAAAGCGACGUACUGGACCUCUUCUGACGCUGAGGCGCGAAAGCUAGGGGAGCAAACGGG
rnacentral:rRNA from 1 species